AUUUACUGGUCCUUGCAACAGCUACAGAAAGCUGGUCAAGCAGCCACCAGUUAGAGCAUGGAAACAUAGGUGUGAUCAAAGCCUAAAUUGUCUUGUUGCAGGGCUCUCACCUGCCUGAAGGGAGUAGUGGAUUUCAGCAUUAGCUCCUUGGUCCUGAUCGAGGGCUCUGACUUGUAGAACCUCUGUGCCCACCACUGCUGAGUCCAGCACUUCUGCUUCAUAGUGGAUGCUGCUGAACUGCGGAGGGUGGAGGUUGCAGCUGUCCACAUGGACGAUGACUCGGACAAAGUUCCGCUUGAUGGGGACCUCCUGGUCUCGCACCUGAAUGACAGAGGAAGAGCAGGCACAGUCACACCUGGGGAGAAGGCAGCCUUGCCCGCACCAGCUUCCAAGCAACUCAUCAGGACUCCUACACAGGUCUUCCUGUGCAGUGAGGGCUGGAAUUCUGGCUGCUUCUCAUGUGUGGAGAGAACGGUUGGUGGAAGAUCAAGCCCUGAACACCCCUCCUCAGGGCAGGUUUGCAAACUGUGUCCUCAGUCAGCACUAACCACAGGGAGAAUUUCCACUUGGAAAUACAGGCGAGUUUCUUUGCUGCUGUGCAGGCAGGAGAAGGCUCAAUUUCAGCCGUAACAGGGAAAGGGCUGUUCUGUUCCACCCUUGCUGACUGUCUAGGUCUGAAAGCUCAAAGAGGCCAACUUAUUCCUCAAGUCCUGAUGUAACCCCAUGUAUGGCAUUUGCCCCAACGCAGUGAAAUUCCAGCAACUUGAUACUUCAGGCUGUGACCUUUGAGGGGUUAAGGGAGCCCCAACUGCAACCUCCAGAGCUCGCUCUGAUGCUCAGUUAAAGCCACGGAGUCUGCACUUGU